GAUGAACGCUGGCGGCGUGCCUAAUACAUGCCAGUCGAGCGAACGGACGAGAAGCUUGCUUCUCUGAUGUUAGCGGCGGACGGGUGAGUAACACGUGGAUAACCUACCUAUAAGACUGGGAUAACUUCGGGAAACCGGAGCUAAUACCGGAUGAUAUUUUGAACCGCAUGGUUCAAAAGUGAAAGACGGUCUUGCUAUCACUUAUAGAUGGAUCCGCGCUGCAUUAGCUAGUUGGUAAGGUAACGGCUUACCAAGGCAACGAUGCAUAGCCGACCUGAGAGGGUGAUCGGCCACACUGGAACUGAGACACGGUCCAGACUCCUACGGGAGGCAGCAGUAGGGAAUCUUCCGCAAUGGGCGAAAGCCUGACGGAGCAACGCCGCGUGAGUGAUGAAGGUCUUCGGAUCGUAAAACUCUGUUAUUAGGGAAGAACAUAUGUGUAAGUAACUGUGCACAUCUUGACGGUACCUAAUCAGAAAGCCACGGCUAACUACGUG
rnacentral:rRNA from 1 species